GUGCAAGGAAAAUUAAAAGACGAGAGAAAAGCGGUGGAGGCCGAACGAGAGGGGCUCGUUCUUCCCACCCCGAGUGCCGGCUAGGGUUGCCGCCGCCGCCGCUGCCGCCGCCCCAAUCCUGCUCUGCCCGCCUCGUCUCGCCUCAGAGAGGAGGAAGAGUUGCUCUUCCAUGGCUCGCAGAGGAGCCGUCGCCCCCGCCGCCACGAUGGAGAUGGAGUACCUGGACUGGAAGAAGUGCGCGCCCGUGCUCUACGACCUCGUCAUGUCCCAGCCGCUCGAGUUGCCCUCGCUCACCUUCCAGUGGCUCCUCUCAGAGUCGCCAGCCUCCACCCGCUCCCACAGCCUCGUCCUCGGCACCCACACCUCCGAUGACUCCCCCAACCACCUCAUGCUCGUCGACCCGUGCUCUAGCUCCUGCCGCCGAGGGCCGCACCGCCCCGUCAGUGUCCAUCGGUCACUCAGCGCCGCAUAAGGGCGAGGUCAACAGUGCCGGGUGCAUGUCUACCGCCUUGUGGAGGACGGCGAUCUCAAGGCCGGGAAUCGAGCCCCAGUUCUAGAUGCGCAACAGGUGUUUGAGACAUCGAGGACCGCACCAUGAAAGAGCGGGAGAUGCCGAGCUACAUCAGGAUGCCAUUCCCUCUGACGCCUCUCGCGUCUCUCUUUUCUGCCCUUGCUUCGAUUCGAUUCGAUUUGGAUGUUGCGUUGUUGUUACUCAUGAAGGUCCGAUUUGCUUUACUUCCUGAUACGGUCACGCAGGUCGCUGUUAAGGCCUCGAGCUGGCUGCGACCAAGCACGGCCUCUAGCUCGCCCUGCACCGCGAUUGCAGUCGCGCGGCUGAUGACCACGGGCUGCUCCACGCACGGACGACAAGCACGGCAUCCGCGAUCAAGGAGAACCUGAGAUGCAACAUCAACGUGGUGGUCAUAUAUCAGAAAGGCAAGUUCUUAUGAAUGAAAGGUCAAGAUCUCCGGCGGCAGGCCAACGGGCACCAUCUCGAGCCAUCGAACCUGCAUGAGAGACAAGAAACACAAGGUCCAUUAUGAGUCUGUACUAGGAUUGAAGUAGGAAGCUGCCAGAGGUGUGUAAUUCAUGUACGUGUGUCGACUUGCAUAAUUAAUGUUGAGGGUUUGCCUAGAAGAAUGAUGUCAGUUUACAACGGGAAGAAUGAUGUUUUUGUACAAAAUGAACGCCUAGCCGUAUUUUACCGAGGGAAUGAUAAUGUUUCAAAUAGAUUGGUGCGUUGUUUCAUAAAUAUGUGCUGACCAGGCUGAAAGUUCAAGUUGUGUGUUAGACCUUCAUAUGUUGUUCACUAUAUGAAUUCAAACUGUCGUUCAUGAUUAUGGCCCUAUGAUAUUAACAUAUACUGCUCAUGGUGGU